UGGGGAAUAUUGGACAAUGGGGGCAACCCUGAUCCAGCCAUGCCGCGUGCGUGGAGAAGGCCUUAGGGUUGUAAAGCGCUUUCAGCGGGGACGAUGAUGACGGUAACCGCAGAAGAAGCUCCGGCUAACACCGUGCCAGGAGCCGCGGUAAUACGGAGGGGGCAAGCGUUGUUCGGAAUUACUGGGCGUAGAGGGCGCGUAGGCGGCACAUCAAGUCAGAGGUGAAAGCCCCGGGCUCAACCUGGGAAUUGCCUUUGAAACUGAUGUGCUAGAGUCCGGAAGAGGAUAGCGGAAUUCCCAGUGUAGAGGUGAAAUUCGUAGAUAUUGGGAAGAACACCAGUGGCGAAGGCGGCUAUCUGGUCCGGUACUGACGCUGAGGCGCGAAAGCGUGGGGAGCAAACAGGAUUAGAUACCCCGGUAGUCC
rnacentral:rRNA from 1 species